rnacentral:sRNA from 1 species
AAUGGUUUGGAAGUACAGACCUACUUUAUGAAAAGCAAGUUAAAGCAGUUCACCAUUUAGCGCUAUCCACGAUACCACUUCAUUGCGAAUUCCUUCUAAUUAGUACCCAUAAGUAAAACUGAAAAACAGACCUAAUAUGCCUUAUGGCGACUUAAAUAAAAUUAAAGGAAAAUUCUAUGUCUAAUGCAAUGACUGGUUCAGUAAAAUGGUUUAAUAACGAUAAAGGUUUUGGCUUUAUUUCUCCGAAAGAUGGCAGCAAAGACGUUUUUGUUCAUUAUUCUGCAAUUCAGAGCAAUAAUUUCAAAACGCUGGAAGAAGGACAAGAAGUUUCAUUCUCUAUUGAGAAUGGUGCUAAAGGUCCAUCAGCGGUAAAUGUUAUCGUAUUAUCUUGAUUUGACUUAACUGCUUAAAUCCAUUAGCGGCUUUACG